GGAGAGCAUUCUGUCAGCUAUUUUAGAGCCACAUUUGGGUAAAUUCAUGAGACUGAGAAUAAAGGCUCAGAACAAAGGAAGAAGGAUCCUGGUAUAAACAGACUUGGGAGAGAAGAGUGGCAGCAAAGAAGGUCAACAAAGUUUGAGUGAUCAGACAUAGGAAAUCUACAUGGGAUCUGAGCUGAAGCUUUUUCUCGCCGUCAAGCUAAGGAUUUUCAUCAGCUUCCAUCCUCCUGGGGAGGAGGAACUGAGUGUAUCACUUGUCAUCUAUCCUAUAGAAACAUGAAUUAGUUAUCUACGUGGCAUGUGUGUAUAGUUAUUGCCCCAACCGGAUUAUUAAGUGAUUUUUAUGAAUCUCCUUGUCACCUUCUCAAAGUCCACAGGUAGAGAACCCUUGCAGCUGGUGGGCAGCUUCUCUGGCUGUUGCAGCCGGAGCUCAUGUCCCGGGUUAACAAAGUCUGUGUCUCUCACUGAAGGGCGUCCUGCUCCAAACAACUUUCAGGACCCGUAUUUUAAAACAAGCAGCUCGGUUUCUCGAGAAUGACAGCCAUGUGCACGAAUAUAAAAGAUCCCUCUGGCCCGUGGAUCGAGAGGAAACUUAGGCUUAGUCCAAACUCCUGAAAGCUGUCCCGUGCUCUUUCAGCCUCUGCGGUACUCCAGCUGCAGCCCUGGCCGUGGUCCAGGGCCUGUGUACUUCGGUGUCGCUGCCCAGGCUGCCACCUCCACCCCAUUGGCCUGCCCUUUGUCGUCCGUGUGGUCAGUGCUCAUCCAAAGAGCUGAGCUUCACGCGGCCCAGGCAUUCUCGGGGUUGCCCACCGUCACCUCGGUUCCCCAGCUGCCGUGUCUCGCCCGUGGGGUAUUUUCCCUUUUUUCCACCGUCUAUGUCAGUUGGUUUCUCUUGCUAGAUUCUGUCCCGGCAGGUUAUAAGCUCCUUCAGAGUAGUAAUCACACCACACGUCUUCACGACCCCAGGUUUUAGAACAUUGCCGGGCGACUAGCAGGCACGCCCUGCUUUAUUUAGCUAUUUAUUCAUUCAUCAAGUGCUUAAGCCCCCAUGGUUAUUUCAUCCAGGGACAUAUGAAUAAGAGUAAUUAUUAAAAGACUCUACAGGCAGUCGAUACGUACGGUGUUCGGUCACUAAGUCGGGAGUGGCUGGACGUGGAAACAUGUGACCCAUUAGUCUGUCUGCAUCACAGUUAGUUGUAGAUACUUUUUUAGAAUGCAGACUCCUGAGCCCCGUCUCGGACACAAUCAGAAUCUCCAGGCAUAAAAUUCAGAAACCUGUCCUUGGAUUCCAAAGCAUAUAGACUUCAGAAUUCCAUGGAUCUGAGCCAGGUUCCGCCUCUACUGAUUAUUAGGUAUAUGACCUUGGAAAAUGAACCUCUCAGAGAGCGUCCGUUUGCUCACUUAGAAAUGAAUAUACAAUGUCUCCUUUUGGAGCGGUGGCAAGGGCCAUAAAGUUAGAGAUGUUGAAACAACUGUGCCCGGUAUGCAGACGUGCCUGGUCCUAUUGACUCCUUCCUUGUCCUCCUGCAGCUUCCCUUUGCUCCUCGAGGUCUUUUCUCCAUCAGAAUACCUGAAAACAAGCACCACACCUGUCCCCCGCCUCUGUGCAGAAUCCAAACAAACUUGUCAUCAUCGCAAUAAUCUUAGUUUGAUGGCCUGACCUCUGUACACGCACUGAAGUGUCCAUUUUACUCGGUCAUCUCCUCAGCGCUCAUCCUCAUUUGACAUGCUUUGUAGUCACUGUCCACUCAGGACACCAAGACUUCCCCUGCGACAGGAGCCGUCGGCGUUUGUUUUGUUACUUCCCUGUUAAUUCGAGGGACUGAGUUGACAGUUCACUUUCCCUCCUCUUCCAUGGAAAAGCAGAUAUUUUCAUAAUAUCGCCAUUAUUAUUGCAAGAAUCUGAUUCCAAAAUAUGGAAACGUUUCUUCCAAUAUACAGCUCAAAAAAUACUCUUGCCUUUAGUUUGGUUUGCCUUUGUUUGAAAAAGUGUGGGGGCUGUAUUCACUUUGAAAUCGUCGGAAGAGAGAAAAUAGAUCAAGUUCAAAAUUCCGUUUUGAACGUGGUCGAGGUCUCAGUGAGGCCGGAGGAAGUCGGGAGCGCGGUAGCGACUCCGCGCGGGAGCGCGAGGGACUGGCUGCUCGGGUAACUGACGUGCUCCAGUGUUAGUUCUUUUCACGCGGCCGCCGUGGGUUCUUAGCCGACGGUUGAUGGUACUGCCUCGCUGGUUUCUCCAGAUGAGGUUUGCUCUUAGAGUCUGCAGCCUUCCGGGGAGUAUUCCUGUAAAAUACACUAAAUGUACGGCGUGAAUUGUGGGGAAGUUGUAGUACCGAUUUCAAAUGGGGAAAACCAACCUUACUGUAAAAGGGCCAAAGAUACCAGGAAACCUGAGAGAAGGACAUUCUGUUUGACCCUUUAAUACGUCCAGGCGACAGCUUCACUCCGACGCGGUCUGAAGGAGAAGCGUGCGCUUUGCCCUGCCUUCCGGUUUGUCUCUACUUAUGUUCUUACUGCAGCCUCUUCACUCCUAACUUACCUGUUAAAUCAGAUUCCAUAGAUAGCCAAGCAAAUAUUUGCCAAUUACUGUGCACCUAUUGCACCUCACCGGAUCUUUCCGCGGACCUAACCGGAUCUUUCCGUGGUCCUCUGCAGUCCACUUGCAUUCAGGCUGUUCUUUCCAUCAGUAAUCUUUCCCCUUGUACCACAUGAUGCUGAGCAAAUUAAGAUUCAGUGAGUGCAAAAUUGGUCUUAGAAGUCUUGAAUUUUAAGAACACUAAGUUUCUUUCUGGAUAGAGGCAUGCAAACCUGUGAUUUUAUAAUUUCAAUCAAAUUCUGCAAAUUCUGCCCUCCUAGAAACCCUGCAGUAGAGGCCGCCCCCCGCGCCCCCCAUCCCUGCGCUUGGUUUUUGAAGACGAACUUGCAACGUUGCAUUUAAAAUGUAGCGUUUCUGGAGUUCUCUUGCAGUGAGGUGGGGUAAGGAACUGGUGCUGUCAUUGCAGCAGCUUGGGUCGCUGCUGUGGUGCCGGUUCCGUCCCUGACCCGGGAACUUCCACGUGCACCGCCAAUGUGGCCUAAAAACAAAAGCUAAAUAAAGUGCAGCGUUUCCUCCUGGCAUGAGGUGUGCAGGUACCUGUUGGGUUGUCCUCGAGUCCAGCUCAACUGUGGGUAUACCUUCCUUUAGCCAUGCAAACCCAGCCUAAUCCUUCUAUUCUGUUUGUUCCUUCCCUAGCACAUGCUCCAACGUUAGUUGUUUUCAACCAUCCUCAUAUGCCUCAGGAGCCCCAUCCAACCAUCUCCCUCAAUGCGGAAACUUCUAUUAGUUUUUUUUGUUUUGAUUUAUGGAAGUAAUACAUGCUUAUUG
rnacentral:lncRNA from 1 species